UACAGAGGGUGCGAGCGUUGUUCGGAAUUAUUGGGCGUAAAGGGCGCGUAGGCGGUGCGGUAAGUCACCUGUGAAAUCUCCUGGCUCAACUGGGAGCUUGCAGGCGAAACUGCCGUGCUGGAGUGUGGGAGAGGUGCGUGGAAUUCCUGGUGUAGCGGUGAAAUGCGUAGAUAUCAGGAGGAACACCUGUGGCGAAAGCGGCGCACUGGACCACAACUGACGCUGAGGCGCGAAAGCUAGGGGAGCAAAUAGG
rnacentral:rRNA from 1 species